CCUACGGGUGGCAGCAGUGGGGGAUAUUGCACAAUGGGGGGAACCCUGAUGCAGCGACGCCGCGUGGGUGAAGGAGUGCUUCGGCAUGUAAAGCCCUAUCGGCAGGGAAGAAGCAAGACGGUACCUGACUAAGAAGCCCCGGCUAACUACGUGCCAGCAGCCGCGGUAAUACGUAGGGGGCGAGCGUUAUCCUGAUUCACUGGGUGUAAAGGGCGUGCAGCCGGAGAGACAAGUCAGAUGUGAAAUCCACGGGCUCAACCCGUGAACUGCAUUUGAAACUGUAAGGCUAGAGUGUCGGAGAGGCAGGCGGAAUUCCUAGUGUAGCGGUGAAAUGCGUAGAUAUUAGGAGGAACACCAGUGGCGAAGGCGGCCUGCUGGACGAUGACUGACGUUGAGGCUCGAAAGCGUGGGGAGCAAACAGGAUUAGAUACCCUUGUAGUC
rnacentral:rRNA from 1 species